AUGCUGCUGAUAAAGACAUACCAGAGACUGGGAAGAAAAAAAGGUUUAAUUGGACUUAGUUCCACACGGCUAGGGAGACCUCAGAAUCAUGGUGAGAGGAGAAAGGCACUUCUUACAUGGUGGCAGCAAGAGAAAAUGAGGAAGCAGCAGAAGCAGAAACCCCUGAUAAACCCAUCAGAUCUCCUGAGUCAUCUUUGCUUUCAAUAAAUUUACAUUUCUAGCAGAGAGGAAUUGUCAAGUAACUAAGCAACUAAAAUAUGGUGUGAAAACUGAAAAGGCACCACAAUUUUGUGGUGCACAUUGUAGGGCAUCUGAUCCAGUCUCCAGGGUCAAAUGAGGCUUUGCAUAGGUGUCAGCAUCUAAACUAGACCCAAAAGACAAGUGGGAUCAAAUCAGAAGGGAGAACCACAUUCUAGAUAGAGGAUGUGGCUUGUGGAAACACCCUAAUGUAACAGGAAAGGCAGAGCCUUUGUGAUCUGCACCCAGUUCAGUGGGGCUGGGGCAGAAGGAAGGGGGCAAGGGGUCAGGGGUUAGAUAUGGCAGUGAAGAGGUCCCCAGGGGCUAGAUCCUAAGGGGACUUUUAUGUCAUGCCAGAGAGUUAGAUAGUAAAAUGUUUUAAAUAAGAAUGUAACAAAAUUAGAUCUUCAAUUUAAGGAGACCUUUGGGUGCAAAGUACAUAAUAAAAUGGAGUUGGGAGAAACUAGAAAUCCAUUAGCCUAAUUGAGAGGUUUUAGUGAAGGUAAUGGUAAAUAAGUGAAUGUGCUUGGGAAAUAGGAGGCAGAAUCAACAAGGCAGAGUGAUGAAUUGGGUGCAGUGAUUAAUGUGGGGCAAACUAAGGAACAAUGAGAAACCAGGAAAGAUGCCCACAUUGCUGUCUUGGCCCACAUGAUUGGCCAUUGUGCCACUGCCAGCAGUGGGGUACUCCAAUGGAGAAGUUGUUUUGUGAAUAUGUCUGCAGGUGACUACUGAGAACCAGAGAAAUUUGUUCAAUGCUUUGAGUAAAUCACGUGACAGCAAAGCACAUUAGGAUAUUCAAGGUAUUUUUCCUUUUUGAAGAUAUGGAAUCUCUUCACUGCACGGCAUUUUACAAUUCUCUCCCACUUGCUAUCAAAAACUUUCCUCAGAAUGUUAUCCAACGAGCUCAUUUGUCCUAGCAAAAGUAGAGCCUUAUGAAGACUGCAUAGUAAUAGGACAGGUAAUAUAGUUUAAUCAUUAUGUGUGAUUAAGGGGACUCAUUUCGUAGCUGGCCUUCCUUCCUUGAAAUAUGGCACAUCCAAAGAAGAACAGUGAUCUGGUUUGGCUGUGUCCCCACCCAGACCUCAUCUUGAAUUAUAGUUUGCAUAAUCCCCAAGUGUCAUAGGAGGGAUGAGGUGGGAGGUAAUUGAAUCAUGGUGUCUGUUACCCUCCUGAUAAUGAGUGAAUUCUCAUGAGAUCUGUUGGUUUUAUAAGUCUCUGGCAUUUUCCCUGCUGGCCCUCAUUUUUUCUUUUGCCACCCUGUGAAGAGGUACCUUCCACCAUAAUUGUAAGUUUCUGAGGCCUCCCCAGCCAGGCAGAACUGUAAGUCUAUUAAACCUCAUUUCUUUAUAAAUUACCCAGUCUUGGACAUUUCUUCAUAGCAUUAGUGAGAAUGGACUAAUACAAACAGGUCUAACACACAUAUCACCAUACAGAUUUCUUCUCUACUCUGCUAACUCAGACAGAUUCCCUCUUCUGGCCUCAGCUUGCUUUGGGGAUCUUUUAAAGUAUAAGAAAGGUGGAAAUUUCUAGACCUCAAAAGAUCUGUAGUUCAAUGAGUUAUUCUGACACUUUAAAAGUUUCAUUUCAAAACACUUUCAAGGGUUAACAUAUCAGUAUCAGCUCUAUGUGGGUAGUAAUUAUUUUCUUUUAUGUCAGAGAUGAACUGGAUGCCCACCUUUCCUAGGGGAGGACCCACGCAUUUUCCAUAGAGCUGACGGAGGUGGUUUUGACUCUUUUUAUCACCUCUUUCAGAACUGAAAUGACUGUUGGUGAUCCUAUUCACUUGUAACUUCAUUACCACUUCAUCUAUAGUUUAUAAUUUUAUGCUUGCUUGAUCAUUUGAUAAAUUUUAAAUAACUGUAAGCUUCAUUUGGGCAGGGAAGGUUUGAUUCUCCCAGAGCUGCCUCAUAGCAGAUGCUCAGUAAAUAUUGCAUUUGUGUAUGAAUGGACGGGUACUGAUUCUCUCUCUCUCUCUCUCUCUCUCUCUCUCUCUCUCUCUCUCUCUCUCUCUCUGCUACAGUGUGGUAGACUGAAGGGUUUUAACAGAUUCCCCACACACAUAAGCACUCACUUUUUACAUCUCCAGUGGAAAGAUCAUCUCUCGAAUUGACUGGCCCUGGACCAUAUUUCAGACCUGCUUCCUUCCCUGAGACCACUUGAAGGAUCUGUUUCAUGAAUUCCACAGUUAGGUUUGCUUUUCACUUAAUAUUUUUUUAUUCUUAACCCUUACCUUUUAUAUAUUUACACUAUUUUAAUCCAAGGAAAUGAUCUUAAGUGUAAGAACAUUAGAACCAUGAAAACUUUUUCAAUAUGGGAACAUUCUGAAAGUUCCUUAAAUAAUCCUACAAGUAACCAUACCCUCUGCCUAAACAAGGAACUUCUCCUCCAGAAAUCUCCAGGAAGUUACUAUGAACCCGUGUGACAAAUUUAGAUAUGUGACAUGCUUUUAGUUUCUUGGAGGAACCAAUAUUGAUUAAUAUUUAUGUCAAUCUUUUAUGUAUUUUGUUUAAUUAUAACAUUCUAUGAGAAAGAUAAUAUCAACAAAUUUUUUAAAUGAGGAACUUAAUUCCAGAAGUUAAGAACUUGCCCAAACUUAACUGCUGAGCAGAAUUUAAAUUCAAUCUUGACAUCACGUAGUUCACAAAUUUUAGGUUUUUUGUCCAGAUUUAUAUCCUCCUGGGAAGAAAAGAAGUUCGGCCAUGAAGUCCUAAAGUUUUAAGGAGGACAAUAAGUCAUCUUCUCUUAGAAAUGACUUUUUAUAGGAGAAUGUGAAAGUAAAUAAAGCAAUGUGACAUGCCAACAUGCCCUCCAACAGUCCUGUAAGUGUGAAGAAAAAAAGAUAGCCUUAAACCAGUAUCCACCCUGUUCAGGUAGCCAGUGAAGGAAGACAGACACCAACUAUAAAUUGAAAAAUCUCUCACCCCUCAUCAUCAACUAUCUUUCUCUCUUUUGUCAGUUUCUUUCCCUUGAUGACUCAGUUGUAGAUUUCAAGUAUGAGUACACUGGACAGACCAUCUUUCCACAUCUGCCCUGGUACCGAACACAGCCUAAGACUCAGUAAAUGGAGGCCAAUAAAAACAACCCUAACAUUGCACUGGGGAAGUUUCCUCCUAGCAGGAGCUCAAGAUUGACUUUAAAACUGACAACUAUGAUAACCUCUGGCAUUCUUACUUUCACUGGACUGUCUGAAAAGACUCUUCUUUCAACACUGUUAAUACAGUAGCUCUUUAUUGACAGGUGCACUGGUGGUUCUUUCCUUUUUUAACUGUGGCUUUAACUGUGAGUAUGAUUUAGAUGAAACACAGCAUUCAGCAUUUUCAGUAGCCGCUCACCAAAUAACUGUUUUAAAAUCAAUAAACAUAGCUCUGUAUGAAUUAAAACAUUCCUGAUCAUGUGUGAACUAUUUUUAACCACCAGCUCUAGAGAAUGCACUCCACUGAGGUAAUCUGUAGAUAGACUAUGAUUCUUUUCAGGUUUCUUAGAGCCAGUUACUUAAAGAAAUCAGGAAAAUCUUUAAUUUACAUCCUUGUUAGCAGUUAAUUUGCAGCAAAUAUGAAAUUAGUCUCUUAGCCCAAAGUUGAGCCUCUCAUUGUAUAAAUUGAAUAGAAAAAAAAGUUCUCUUUUUCCAAUAGAAAUAGAUCCAUUUUUAACAUCAAGGGUCUUCAUUGCCUUCUUUUUGAAAUGUUGAAGGAAAAGGUUCACUUCUUAAUUGUGCUAUGUACUUUUUUCUCUUUCUCAGCUGUGUAGCUGAAAGCCUAACUGAGAGCAGGCAGCCCAGGAGGCACAAGUAGUACUUAAUGCCAUAUGAAGGAGGCACACGCAGGUCCCAUUUUCAUUCUCAGCCAUGCACCACAAUCUCUUUAGAACUCCUACUUGAAGACAAAAUAAAAGAUUGAUGCAUACAGGUACAAGAAAAAAGAGGAAGGCUGAGUUUGCUCAUUGUUGCUGUAGGAAUUGCUUCAUCUGAGAUGCCAGUCAUAAUUGACUGAUUAGAGAGGGUCUUCUUCCACAAUAACCAUUGUCUUAACUGGCAUUAUCAUAAUUUCAGCUUCAUUAAAGUUUUUAGAAGAUCUGCACUGUAUAUUUUAAUGACUGCAUGUGUAUAUUUUUCUUUUAUCACAAAUAACAAAUGAACAUAUGUGUUUUAAUCCAGUAUACAGAGUUUCCUAACUUUAAUUUUGUGUUAUUAUGCUUCUAAUAUUUCAUUUUUUAAAAAAAAAUUUCCAUGGAACAGUUACAUCUUGACUUAGAGGAAAAGGAGAAGAGGAGUAUGGAAAGAGGGGAAGUGUCUUUCACAAACACGCAAAUAGAGUUAAGAAGGAGGGUGCGUAACUUAACAAACUAUGACUUAUCUACCAAUGGCAGCUCAAUUUAAUAAUGAGAGUUCACCUUCAUGGCAGCUUCUGAUACAGGAAGGAUGGAGGACUUGACUAUUCUGGAAAAGUUUAGGGGAAAGAUUCAGGAUACAUUGGCAAAAAGAAACUGAUAAUUGGAAAAAUCUCACUUUUCUAAAACACCAGAAAAUCCCCACUGGAAGAAGGAGGAGGAAGAACAGCAG
rnacentral:lncRNA from 1 species